rnacentral:lncRNA from 1 species
CAUAGGUUUUUCCUCGAUUCAUUCUUCCAUGAAUCGUUCAAAAAAAAGUUCAUCAAAAUUCAGUAUCUAAUAAAUCGAAUAAUUGAAAAUGAUUCUUGAAAUUACCUAAUUUGUGAAUCCCGAAUACCCAACCGAUUUAUUAUAUUUUUAUAACGUAUUUUGUUUUUCUUUGACAAAUACGACAAUAGUCGUUGCCGUUUUCCCAGAAUUAGACGUAAACCUCUUUGAGAUAAAUAGUCUUUUGGGUGUAAUUCAAAAUGUGAAGUAAGUCUUCGUAUCUUAUUAGUGAAGUUGAAUACUUGAAAUUCAACGGAUCCCGGGUUUUCUUCUUCUUUUUUUGAAAUAACAGAAUUUUUUAUCAUAAAAUAAAAGCUUUCCCCCCUCCUUUUUGGUAGAUAUUUUUAUUGAUCAGUAAUAGUAAUGACACUUCUUUUUUUUGAAUUUUUCUAUAGAUUUCUUUCUAUCUAUUCUAUCUAAUGGAGACAUCAUUGAAUUCGUAUCAAUCCCACAAUGCGUGUGGGCGUUUAUUUUAUUUAAAAAAUAGAUAUAUAUAAUAUUUAUAUAUAUAUAAAUAUAAAUAAAUAUUUAAAUAAAUAUUUAUUUAUAUAUAUAUAUAAAUGUUCACAUAUCAGAUAUCAGAUGGAUAUGUUACAAGAAAUAUUAUGAUAAUGAUAAAUAGAACCAAAAUCUAGAUUUUCAAUCAAAUUUUCAAUCGAGGAUACAUAUGUAUUCUUAAUAUACUGAAACGGCUUCCAUUAUGCGUAUCAAACCAAUAGCGGUUCAUACAAGCUAAAUCUUCGAAUCGAUAAUUUGGCCAAAGAAAGAAUUUUAAAUUCUUUAGUUUUUUUGUAUCGCUAUCAAGAUCCUUAUUUUUAGUCAAAACUUCAGAAGAAUUAUUUAUUUUUUUCUCCUUUAUUGUGUUUCUAUCCACAGUCUUUCUAUUCCUAGAGUUCAAAGAAAUUAGAAUUCUCAAUUCUCUACGGCGUCUAGGGGAUAAAAGAUUUUCGGGAAUAAGGAAAUCAUAAUUCUCAAGACGACUAUUUUUUGAGUUUCUUUUCGAAAUUUUUCGCUUGUGCUUCAAUGCUAUGCUUAUGAUUUGAUAUAUAAAGAUUUGUUCAUAAUUUUUUAUAGAAACACGAUUGGGUUCAAUAAAAAACAUUAGGUAGUCCUGCAAUUCUGUUAUGUCCCUAGCGUUUCCAUAACAAAAGUCCGUGUUGGUGAUACGCACCAAAUUUUCUAUAUUUAUAUCCCCCUUUUUUAUAGCCACAAUAGUGAAUUUUUUUAGCUUUUUCAACUCAAGCAAGUAACCUUGUAUGUUAAAAUGCUGAAACAUAUCCUCUUUGAUGCCACGCCCACAGUCCCCAUAAUAACCCAAAUAUUUGUUUAUUAAAUAAUCACGUUCUUUAAAUAGAGUCGACCUUUCUGUAAUUAUCUUAGAACCACGACGGCGACGAUGGGAACGAGGGGGACGGAUCGUAUAAUACUUUGCGAGAUAUAAAUUUAGAUUUUCUGUAAUCUCGUAUUCUUUCUUUUCUAACUCUAACUGCGUUUUAUUAGUAAUGUUACUGUUUGUAUAAAACGGCAUAAAAAAGAAAUCUAGUGGUAAGAUCCAAGGAUUCUUCUUAUAUGCACUUACUUUUGAAAAAAAACCAAAUCUUGGGGUCAAUACUUUCUGAUUCGUUACGGAAUUCUUUUUUCUUUUUCCCAUCCAAUGAAAAUACUUUCUAUCCAUAUUUUUUUCCAUAUCUAUACCAUCUUUUCCUAUAUAAUUUUGGAUAAAGCUAUCACCCAUUAUAUCAAAUAAUUCUUUGAUAUCUUUAGGUGUGUUAUAAGACUGUGAUUUAUAUCCAUAAAUAUAGGAUUUUUUCUUAUCCACAUAAUUUAUAUAUUGAUAGGAGAAAAGAUCAUAUCCAUAUUGUUUUUUUAUUUUUUUUUUCAUUUUUAAUUCUUCUUAUAUGCACUUACUUUUGAAAAAAAACCAAAUCUUGGGGUCAAUACUUUCUGAUUCGUUAUGGAAUUCUUUUUUCUUUUUCCCAUCCAAUGAAAAUACUUUCUAUCCAUAUUUUUUUUCAUAUCUAUACCAUAUUUUCCUAUAUAAUUUUGGAUAAAGCUAUCGCCCAUUAUAUCAAAUAAUUCUUUGAUAUUUUUAGGUGUGUUAUAAGACUCUGAUUUAUAUCCAUAAAUAUAGGAUAUUUUCUUAUCCACAUAAUUUAUAUAUUGAUAGGAGAAAAGAUCAUAUCCAUAUUUUUUUUUCAUUUUUACUAAGUCGACUUCUGCUCCAUUUUCUAAUUCUACGAAGUCCACUUGUUCUUUUUUGGAAAAAAUUAAUAGGGUUUUUUGAGAUGAACCAUAUUCAUCUAAAUCCUUAUUUUGAGCCACCCGUUGUUCAUGGAUUCUAUUCCUCCACUUUUGUGGUACUAAUCUCGACCAUGCCCUCUGAGGUAAAGCAUAUUGAUAAUGAACCUUUAACCAAUUUGUCCAUUGAUUCAUUAUAGAAUCGGGACGAUUCUUAUCUCUUAAUUUUGAAUUUAAUCUUCCUCCUUGUAUUCUCAAUAAAUACUCCUUUAUUUCAUUGUUCAUAAAAAAAGAUCUUCCAUGAGAUUCAAAAAUAGAUCUUAACUUAUAUUUACUAACUUGGCUUUGAGAUAAUUUAAACAAUACCAUAGGCUUGUGAAAGAAGAUACAUCACAAGAAUUCUCUGAAUUCAUAUUCCAAGGUUUCUCUAUAGUCGACAUAAAGGGAAUUAUACUUUGAUUUAUUUUAUAAACUUUUUGUUCAUUUUUUUAUUGUAAUUUUAAAUGGAUUUCUUUACAAUUUUAUUUGUUAAUUCAAAUAAAUAACGAAUAAAUUUGAUAUAAUUAAGAUAACAUUGUACAAUGCUCGAAGUAAGGAAACCUUCUACGUGGUUAGUAGUAAGGAUAUGUAUGUAUAACCUUUCCAUGAAAAUUUGAAAAAAACAAUAGGAUUUACGGAUUAAUCGAACGUUUCUUCUUUGUAGAAUUUGGAAACGAUUUUUUUAAAUUCUAAUAUUUUAGCAUCAGUUAUAACCCCCUCGUUUUUUUCUUCUGUCAUUUUUUCUAUUUGUUUUAAGAUCGUCUUUGUUUUAACAUUAAGAUCUUUUAUCCUUUUUUCUGAAUUUGUCCGAUUAAUAUAUUGAAUUAUAUUGGGCGAUUCCUCAAUCAUUGGAUUAAUAGAUUGAAUUAUAUCGGGCGAUUCCUCAAUCAUUGGAUUAAUUGGUGAUUUUUUUGGAUCUCACUCAAUUCAUUUUCUAUUUGUUUUAAUUCUUCUCCCAUGAUUGGAGACCUGUUUUUUCUUUCUUUUUGAUUAUCAAAUUUUCGAAAAGACUUUUUCAAAUCUUUUUUCAAUUGUUUUGUUAUUUGAUUGAAAAUAGGACCCAAAAAUGCAAAUGGGUUUGGGACAAUUUUUCUAUUUGUUUUAAGAUCGUCUUUGUUUUAACAUUAAGAUCUUUUAUCCUUUUUUCUGAAUUUGUCCAAUUAAUAGAUUGAAUUAUAUCGGGCGAUUCCUCAAUCAUUGGAUUAAUUGGUGAACUUUUUUGGAAAUCACUCAAUUCGUUUUCUAUUUCUGUUAAUUCUUCUCCCAGGAUUGGAGACCCUUUUUUUCUUUCUUUAUUAUUAUCAAAUUUUCGAAAACGCUUUUUCAAAUAUUUAUUCAAUUGUUUUGUUAUUUGAUUUAAAAUGGGACCCAAAAAUGCAAAUGGGUUUGGGACAUGCUCAUCAGUGUACGCUUCGACUAGUGUUCCAUAACCUGUUAAAAACAAGAAGUUUUUUUCAAAGGCGGUUGUUUCAAGGAUGCUUUUUUGAGUGUAUCUUUUUUUCCUAGUAGAUCGUACCUUAGGUUUAUUGUGCCAAGGUUUCAUAACAAAAGGGUAUAAGACCCUUAUCUGAACACCACCCUAGAACCAUUGGCCUGGCAAUGAGUUGCUACCUGUUGGAACGUCAUGAUAAGUUCAUUUAACAUGGAUUUAUUUUCUCUAAUCCCUAAAAUCUUAUGACCAUUUUGGAUUUUGAAAUAAUAAGAUACAAAUUAUAUUUUUAGUGAUUAUCAAUGAAGGUUAUAUAAUAUAUUUUCUAAACAUUGAUUGAAAUAAUAUUACAAAACUUCUGAUUAUUAGACCAUAUAGAAUGCUCUCCCAGGCCUCUUCGAUUUUUUCAAGUCUGUUUUCAAUCUCAUCUUUCCGUCUUUCUUCUUGCACUUUCUGAAACUGCAAAAAUUCUGAAUUAUCAGUACCAGGUUUCCUAAAAUAUUCUUUCACAUAUUACGGCGUUUUCUGCUAUUAGCGGAAUAUUAACCAUGAAAACUGCCACUUUUUACAUUAUUUAAUGCCUUCUUUAACUACAUAAAAAAUUUUACGGCCAAAUUUUCAAUUUGUCUCUUUUUUUCUAUUCCAAAAUUCCCUUAGAGAUCCUAAGUUUAACAUUGUAUUUCCAUAAGCUGAUCAGACCAUUUACUUCCCUUACACUGAAACUAGUCGUCGAUUGACAUCUUUCUACCUUGAUAUCGAAGAUCUUCUUUACAACAAAGUGGAAAAUGAAAAGCACAUAUGAGAAUUGUUCAUUCUCGUUUUACAUAUUGUUGUUGGCAUUGUCGCAUGAAACAUUUAUCUAAUCAAUGCAGUUCCAUUGUAACAGAUGCGUGCUCAAAGACGACAUCAAGUCGAUUAUGUUCAGCAUGGCAAGGUUGGACUGUGUGAAGAACAUUAUAAGACUAGUUAAGUGGUAUGGAAAGAACCCGAAGCUUCGUAAGUUGGUAAAUUUUAUUGAUAAUUUGUUUUUAACAUCAAGAUAACAACACUCUUGAAAACUUUAAGUCUUUUGAGUGAUACUUAAGAAUUAAUGAAUGUGCUUAUGCUGCCUGACUCAGACAAUUAGUUUCCAGUAAAUUUUAUUGAUAAUUUGUUUUUAACAUCAAGAUAACAACACUCUUGAAAACUUUAAGUCUUUUGAGUGAUACUUAAGAAUUAAUGAAUGUGCUUAUGCUGCCUGACUCAGACAAUUAGUUUCCAUAAUCUUUUUUUCUCCAUUAACUUGACCUAUUGUACCUUAAUCCAGAUGUGAGUGAUGAUAACCUGAUUAUGAUUUUUUCUCCAUCUAGGGUGCAACAUUUGACUGCUUCUCCUAGCAGCACGACGCUUGUAUUGCUUUCCCACAACCCCGUUUUCAUGUUUUUGGAUGCUCCCAUUUCGCUCACCGCUACUACGGGAAUCACUUUUUCUUUCUUUUCCUCUGGCUACUAAGAUGUUUCAGUUUGCCAGGUUGUCUCUUUCCUGCUCAUGAAUUCAGCAGCAGUUCGAAAAGUUGACCGAUUCGGGAAUCCUCGGAUCUAUGCUUAUUUUCAACUCCCUGAAGCAUUUCGUCGCUUACUACGCCUUUCCUCGUCUCUAGGUGCCUAGGUAUCCACCACAAGCCUUUCCUCGUUUGAACCUCUCCCUUCAACUUUGUGCCAUCCUAAGGUGUUGCUAGAUGGAAGGAUCUGAUUAACUUCCACUAAUAAUUAAGUACUAUUAACAAUAGCUAAUACCAAAAAAUUGAUGACCGAGAAUAGGAGAUUAAGCAGACUCGAACCGCUGACAUCCGCCACAGGGUAAAUCACCACCUCUCAAGCCCCAACUAAUUCUACCAUAGAGGCCAAGAAUAGACAAUAAUCCUCUGAACAUAGCUUACAACUUUCACCGUAUUGUUCUAUCCAAAGAGUAACUCUUCUCAAAAUAUAAAAAUAUCAAAGGGUGCUAAGUUGGAAUCCCAUUCAAACAAGGAUUCUUGUGGUUCUGGAAGAUCUAGCUACAGGAGAAUCGAGAAUGAAAAGCUCCCCCCCCCCUUUAUCCGCCUAACUCUUUGCUCUUAAGAAUGUAGGUUUUAAGUUAAGAAUGAGUAAUUGCACUUCUCCGACCCUUAAUUGUUCAACCUGAGAACAGAGAACUAAUGCAUUUUCAAGUUGAACUGGGUUUUAUGGUUGGUCUGUGACCCAUGGAUGCCAAAGGCAUUCUUGGGGUGAUCUCGUAGUUCCUACGGGGGUGGAGACGAUGGGGCAUUUCCAUACUAUUAAGCUUAAUGAAAUACAUAUGACACCUUAUCCAUUUCUUUGUAUUUUUUUUCCAUUAUAUCUAUUUCUUGAAAUUGAAUAAGUGAUGAUCCAGCAGUUCUUACUCAGGGAAUUCUUUGACUUCGAUUAAAGGUUUUUUUGGAAAUCUUCGUGGUUUUGGUAUGAAUCUUAGGUUUUAAAUUGAUUCUAUAGGGUAUUAACAAGAAAAUUCUUAUCAAUAAUAAUAAUUAAAAAAAUAGCAGUAAAAUCACAAUAAAGUCUUGAAAAUACGAGGACGGUAAGGACCAAGAGAAAAUACGAGUGAGCCGACUUGAAAUUUUGGCAUUAUAACCACUAAGAAUAUUUUUUGGAUUUCUAUUUUCUUUUAUCACCAAAAUAGACUGGAAUCAUAGGAUUAAGUUAAGAAGUGUAAAACUUUCUAUUACACAUAUUCGUUUUCCAAAUAACCAGUAUUUGAGUCUUUUUGUUUGAUUCGUACGAGAUGAAAUUUUCAUAUAAGUUUCUAAGGGGGUCCCUUGGGUUACCUAUCUCAAUAAAGUCUUUGAUUGGUUUGAAGGACGUCUUGAGAUUCAGGACAUUGCCGAUGAUAUAACUAGUAAAUAUGUCCCUCCUCAUGUCAAUAUAUUUUAUUGUUUAGGAAGAAUUACACUUACUUGUUUUUUAAUGCAAGUAGCGACGGGUUUUGCUAUGACUUUUUAUUAUCGUCCAACUGUUAUGGAGGCUUUUGCUUCUCUUUAAUAUAUAAUGACUGAGGCUAACUUUGGUUGGUUAAUUUAAUCAGUUCAUCGAUGGUCAGCAAGUAUGAUGGUCUUAAUGAUGAUCUUGCACAUAUUUCGCGUGUAUCUCACUGGUGGUUUUAAAAAACCUCACGAAUUGACUUGGGUUACAGGUGUAGUUUUGGGUGUAUUGACUGCAUUCUUUGGUGUAACUGGUUAUUCUUAACCUUGGGACCAAAUCGGUCAUUGGGCAGUCAAAAUUAUAACAGGUGUACCCGAUGCUAUUCCUAUAAUAGGAUCCUCGGUGGUAGAGUUAUUAUGCGGCAGCGCUAGUGCGGGACAAUCUACCUUGACUCGUUUUUAUAGUUUAGAUACUUUUGUAUUACCUCGUCUUACUGCCGUAUUCAUGUUAAUGCACAAAGAUUACUAUGCAUUCGUUCCUUAAAGACCAGGAAAUAUCUCUUUAUGAAUCAUAGAUAUUUGCAAUCAAUCAUUUUGGGGAGGAGGAAUAGUAUUUCAUUGCUACAAAUCUGCAUUAUUUUUUUAAUAAGACAUGUAUUUGGAUAUUUCCCUUCAACUUAACAAAAUCAAUUGAAUUCUUUAUUUGACAUACACGAAUAGUUGAAGGGAAAUCUCGGAAAAAAGAAUGGAUUAUGGGAGUGUGUGAAAUAAUUCAUUAUUGCUUUCGGGAAUAAGUAAAUCAUAAUUCUCAAGACGACUAUUUUUUGAGUUUCUUUUUGAAAUUUUGCGCUUGUGCUUCAAUGCUAUGCUUAUGGUUUGAUAUAUAAUGAUUUGUUCAUAAAUUUUUAUAAAAACACGAUUGGGUUCAAUAAAAAACAUUAGGUAGUCACGCAUAUUUGUUGUGUCCCUAGAGUUUGCAUAAGAAAAGUCCGUAUUGUUCAGACGCACCAAAUUUUCUAUAUUUAUAUCCCCUUUUUUAUAGCCACAAUAGUGAAUUUUUUUAGCUUUUUCAACUCAAGCAAGUAACCUUGUAUGUUAAAAUUCUGAAACAUAUCAUCUGUCAUACCACACGGACAAUUCACAUAAUAACCCAAAUAUUUGUUUAUUAAAUAAUUACGUUCUUUAACUAGAGUCGACCUUUUUGGAAUUAUCUUAGAACCACGACGGCGACGAGGGGGACGGAUCAUAUAAUACUUUGCGAGAUAAAAAUUUAGAUUUUCUGUAAUCUCGUAUUCUUUAUUUUCUAACUCUAACUGUGCAACAUCAGGAAUGUUGUUGUGUGUAUAAAACGACAUAAAAAAGAAAUCUAGUGGUAAGAUCCGGCGGAUUCUUCUUAUAUGCACUUACUUUUGAAAAAAACAAAUCUUGGGGUCAAUACUUUCUAAUUGAUUAUGGAGUUCUUUUUUCUUUUUCCCAUCCAAUGAAAAUACUUUCUGUCCAUAUUUUUUUUUUCAUAUCUAUACCAUCUUUUCCUAUAUAAUUUUGGAUAAAGCUAUCGCCCAUUAUAUCAAAUAAUUCUUUGAGAUUUUUAGGUGUGUUAUAAGACUGUGAUUUAUAUCCAUAAAUAUAGCAUUUUUUCUUAUCCGCAUAAUUUAGACAGUGAUAGGAGAAAAGAUCAUAUCCAUAUUGUUUUUUUAUUUAUUUUUUCAUUUUUACUAAGUCCACUUCUGCUUUGUUUUCUAAUUCUACUAAGUCUACUUGUUCUUUUUUGGAAAAAAUUAAUAGGUUUUUUUUUAGAUGAACCAUAUUCAUCUAAAUCCCUAUUUUGAGCCACCCGCUGUUCAUGGAUUCUAUUCCUCCACUUUUGUGGUACUAAUCUCGACCAUGCCCUCUGAGGUAAAGCAUAUUGAUAAUAAACCUUUAAACAAUUUGUCCAUUGAUUCAUUAUAGAAUUGAGACGGUUUUUAUCUCUUAAUUUUGAAUUUAAUCUUUCUCCUUGUAUUCUCAAUAAAUACUCCUUUAUUUCAUUGUUCAUAAAAAAAA